AUUGCACUUAUCUUUGUGUAGGAAUCACUACACCACGUCAAUUGCCAUGGCUGAACUGACGCCUCUCGAAUGUGCUAUGCUGAUAAACAUCGCUUAGAAAACAAAGAUCGAGAAUCUUGAGUAUCAUUUUUCACGAAGUACAUUAUAAUAUAUCCAGAGAUGUUGUCCAGGACAGGCAGUGGUGGUAGAAAGAAAGAAAAGAGGGAUAUGCAAAACGCUCUGGCCCAUGAUGCAGACCGGGGCCAACCGUGCAUGAAGUGUGGCGACAAGUGCCCUGGCCUUGCACUGCAUUAUUGGAGGUAGGUACCUUUCUACUCCGAUUUGAUCACUCAAUUAGGGCUUUGUACAUUUCAUGAACGGAAAAGACAAAAAAGUUAGUGGGAUGUACAACAUGUCUUGCUCUCCCAUGUCGGAAUGGAAAAAAAUGUUUUAAAGGGUUGUAGUAGUAGCCGACUUGAUUGAAUAUCAUUUCUUGUUGUAUGAAUUUGAUAUAUCACAUGAAUCCCCACAGACCUUUAAAAAAAAAAACAUUAUUUAAACACAUUGCCAUAUGAAAAAGUGAAGAGUGAAGAGUGCACAUUGUAAAUGUAGAUUUAUAUUAAGUCCAAUGAACAGGCCAACAGUAAAUUUUGCCCCUUUUCAAUUUAAAUAAAGAGUGGCUCUUUUAGAUAUUGGUAUGAUUUUAAUGUUUUUGUUUUUCAUAGUUCAAGACUCUGUGUUUUUGCUCAUAUUAUUUUCAGUUUGAUGGGAUUAUGUAGAUUCUAGUAAACUCAGUUCUAACAAAUAUGCCCCCCAAAAGAUAACAUUAACAAAGACUUAUUGUCAAGAGGAGAAGCAACAUAAUGAUA